rnacentral:tRNA from 1 species
UGGAGUGUAGCUCAGUGGUAGAGCACUUGCUUAGAAUGUGAGAGGCCCUGAGUUCAACCUCUAGUACUACAA